UACGUAGGGGGCAAGCGUUGUCCGGAUUUAUUGGGCGUAAAGAGCGUGUAGGCGGCCAGGUAGGUCUGCUGUGAAAACUCGAGGCUUAACCUCGAGCUGUCGGCGGAAACCAUCUGGCUAGAGUCCGGAAGAGGAGAAUGGAAUUCCUGGUGUAGCGGUGAAAUGCGCAGAUAUCAGGAAGAACACCGGUGGCGAAGGCGGUCUCCUGG
rnacentral:rRNA from 1 species